GCCGGCCGGCGGGCGGGCGCGCUUCAUCCGGCCGGGCGCAGGCUUGCUGUCCUCAGCAUGAUGAAGGGUUGUCAGACAGAGUGCCUAGCUGGAGGAUGUACAGGGGGAGCCACGAAGCAAGUGACUGAAUCUUUCAAGGCUGAAGACUUAAUUAUUACCCCGGCAACUACUCUCAAGGAAAAACCAGACCCCAAUGGUUUGGUGUUUGGAACUGUGUUCACAGAUAACAUGUUGAUAAUUGAAUGGUCUUUGGCUUCAGGAUGGGAGAAACCUCAUAUUAAGCCUCUUGAGAAUCUUUCAUUACAUCCAGCCUCAUCAUCUCUCCACUAUGCUGUGGAACCAAGAGGACAGACAGAGGAGAAUCUGGUGUCAAUGCUGUGGCUCAAUGAAUACACACUGUUUGAAGGAAUGAAAGCUUACAGAGGAGUGGAUGGUAAAAUCCGCCUGUUCCGCCCCAUGCUCAACAUGGACCGGAUGGCACGGUCAGCAAAGCGAGCCACGCUGCCAUGUUUUGAUAAGCAUGAACUCUUAGAUUGUAUCCGGAAGCUUGUGGAAGUGGAAACAGAGUGGGUCCCCUACUCAGCCUCUGCCAGCCUGUACAUCCGCCCUACAUUGAUUGGAAUAGAGCCUUCUCUUGGAGUCAAGAAGCCAACUAAAGCCCUACUGUAUGUCAUACUCAGUCCUGUGGGCCCUUACUUUGCAAGUGGAAGCUUUAAUCCAAUAUCCUUGUGGGCAGAUCCAAAAUAUGUAAGAGCCUGGAAAGGAGGAACUGGGGACUGCAAACUGGGAGGGAAUUAUGGUUCUUCUAUUUAUGCCCAGCAUGAAGCCAUAGAACUAGGGUGUCAGCAGGUUUUGUGGCUGUAUGGAGAAGAUCAUCAAAUAACUGAAGUUGGAACUAUGAAUCUGUUCCUGUACUGGAAAAAUGAAGAUGGAGAAGAGGAGCUGGCAACUCCACCAUUAGAUGGCAUCAUUCUUCCUGGAGUGACAAGACAGAGUAUUUUGGAUUUGGCACACCUGUGGGGAGAAUUCAAAGUGUCUGAGCGGUACAUCACCAUGAGUGAUCUGACAACUGCCUUGGGGGAAAACAGAGUGAAGGAGAUGUUUGGUGCUGGGACUGCUUGUGUUGUAUGUCCCGUUUCUAAAAUAUUAUACAAUAAUGAGAAUUUGAACAUUCCAACUAUGGAGAAUGGACCUCAGCUGGCCACUCGCUUCUUAAACAAGCUGACUGAUAUCCAAGGUGCAACAUGGUGUACUUCAGCUGAUACAACAAUCAGAAGGGAUUGCUAAACUGAGCUGCUUGUGAAUUGUGGCUUGUCAUCUACUUUCUACUCACCUGAAACACUGUGUACGGGAGAGAAGACAGUGACUGGGCAAUGCUGGUGUCAUGAGCAAAAACCUGGAGAAGACUGGACCUUCCAUACACUAAAGACAAGCCAAACCAUUACACACAAAUGAUGACCGACUUCUCUAAUGGCGUAUGAGUAGUGUAGUCUUGUCACCUUGAUCCCCAAGAUAUUUGUUUCUCUAUGCCAGGGAAUGUGAACACAAUCAUUUUGAUUUUUACUAUAAUCUUGUUAGUAGAGGUGUCUCUUCUCUUUAGGGGUGCUAGAUGUAAGCAAUAGAACUUUUCCUAGUGGUUUUCUUAGUGCCUCCUUGUGUCUUAUGUACAGUCCAAAAACUUUGUAAAAUACUUUUCAACUGC